rnacentral:rRNA from 1 species
CCAAUAGCGUAUAUUAAAGUUGUUGCAGUUAAAAAGCUCGUAGUUGAAUUUCGGGAUUAGUAUGUUGGUCGUGCCUCCGGUAUGUACUGGCUUUACUGAUUCCUCCUUCUUGAAGAACUGUAAUGUCAUUAAUUUGGUGUUGCAGGGAAACAGGACUGUUACUUUGAAAAAAUUAGAGUGUUUAAAGCAGGCUAACGCUUGAAUACAUUAGCAUGGAAUAAUGGAAUAGGACGUUUGAUCCUAUUUUGUUGGUUUCUAGGAUUGACGUAAUGAUUAAUAGGGAUAGUUGGGGGCAUUAGUAUUCAAUUGUCAGAGGUGAAAUUCUUGGAUUUAUUGAAGACUAACUACUGCGAAAGCAUUUGCCAAGGAUGUUUUCAUUAAUCAAGAACGAAAGUUAGGGGAUCGAAGACGAUCAGAUACCGUCGUAGUCUUAACCAUAAACUAUGCCGACUAGGGAUCGGAUGAUGUUAAUUUUUUAAUGACUCAUUCGGCGCCUUACG